UUCGCCUACGGGAGGCAGCAGUGAGGAAUAUUGGUCAAUGGGCGAGAGCCUGAACCAGCCAAGUCGCGUGAGGGAAGACGGUCCUAUGGAUUGUAAACCUCUUUUGCCGGGGAGCAAAAAGCGGUACGUGUACCGCAUCGAGAGUACCCGGAGAAAAAGCAUCGGCUAACUACGUGCCAGCAGCCGCGGUAAUACGUAGGUGGCGAGCGUUGUCCGGAAUUACUGGGUGUAAAGGGAGUGUAGGCGGGAAAGCAAGUCAGAAGUGAAAACUAUGGGCUUAACCCAUAGCCUGCUUUUGAAACUGU
rnacentral:rRNA from 1 species